rnacentral:pre_miRNA from 7 species
UCCUAGCACUUACAAAGUGGCUCACUGUAAGACCCCCUUUUGGGGACCUCCACUCUAGUCUCGGGAGUGUGAGAGCACCCAAAGGAACACGAGGACCU